CAGUACCCUGACUGUGCAAAGGUAGCAUAAUCAGUUGACUUAUAAUUGAAGUCUAGUAUGAAUGGGAACACGGGAAUAUUCUGUCUUUAAUAUAUAAAAGAAAUUACUAAUUAAGUGAAAAUUCUUAAAAAUAAGAAAAUAGACGAGAAGACCCUAGAAAUUUUUUAAUUUGAUUUUGUUGGGGCGACAGGGUAACAAAAAACUUACCUAAAGUAAUAGGAAAUUUUUUAGUGGUGUAAUUAAAUUACUCUAGGGAUAACAGCAUAAUAUUUUAAAGGUUGUGACCUCGAUGUUGGACUAGGAAAUACACUACUUAAAAGGUAGUGUUUAUGGUUCUGUUCGAACUUUUACUCCUACAU
rnacentral:rRNA from 1 species